rnacentral:precursor_RNA from 1 species
UGGAGUCAUAUUAGGUUAAUGCAAAAGUAAUCGCGGUUUGUGCCAGAUGACGAUUUGAAUUAAUAAAUUCAUUUGGUAUAAACCGCGAUUAUUUUUGCAUCAACUUACUACAGUCUAUGG